rnacentral:tmRNA from 1 species
GCGUAAGUUCAGUUGAGCCUGAAAUUUAAGUCAUACUAUCUAGCUUAAUUUUCGGUCAUUUUUGAUAGUGUAGCCUUGCGUUUGACAAGCGUUGAGGUGAAAUAAGGUCUUAGCCUUGCUUUUGAGUUUUGGAAGAUGAGCGAAGUAGGGUGAAGUAGUCAUCUUUGCUAAGCAUGUAGAGGUCUUUGUGGGAUUAUUUUUGGACAGGGGUUCGAUUCCCCUCGCUUCCACCA